AAAUGAAUUGACGGGGGCCCGCACAAGCGGAGGAGCAUGUGGUUUAAUUCGAUGAUACGCGAGGAACCUUACCCGGGCUUGAACGUAAGACGAAUAUGCAGGAAACUGUAUAGCCUUCGGGCGUCUUGCGAGGUGCUGCAUGGUUGUCGUCAGCUCGUGCCGUGAGGUGUUAGGUUAAGUCCUGCAACGAGCGCAACCCUUACACGUAGUUGCCAGCACGUAAUGGUGGGGACUCUACGUGAACUGCCUACGCAAGUAGCGAGGAAGGUGGGGAUGACGUCAAAUCAGCACGGCCCUUAUGUUCGGGGCUACACACGUGCUACAAUGGCAUGUACAGAGGGCAGCCACUAUGUGAAUAGGCGCAAAUCCUCAAAGCAUGUCUCAGUUCGGAUUGGAGUCUGUAACUCGACUCUAUGAAGUUGGAUUCGCUAGUAAUCGCGCAUCAGCCAUGGCGCGGUGAAUACGUUCCCGGGCCUUGUACACACCGCCCGU
rnacentral:rRNA from 1 species